UUGUAGAUUUAUUAUCUAUGUUUCUAUGUUGUUUUGCUUUGCUUGUGUCUUGUGUUAAAAUUUCUAAGUGCUUGUGUUCGGAACGGUUGAAGUAUGGAUUUUUUUAUUUUUUCCGAUAAGAGAGAAAAAAAAACAGGUCGUUUGCUGUGGUAUUUUUGCUGGAUUUAUUGGUUCUAUCCAAUGGAUGUUGGGAUACCUAAAGCAAGCAUAAAAGUAAAACUAGCCUGGAAACAGAGGCAACGUGUUGUUGCUAAACGCAAGAUUUAUGAUAAUGAGUUGGAGCAUAAAAACUCGGGGUGACGUGUUAUGGAACAUUGGUUUCUCUUUUUCUCUGCAAAGUAGCACUACCAACAGUCCUGAGGCGAAGGUGUCUUUUAGCAUCUGGAAUGGAGACAAUGUGUUAUUGUUAAAGGAAGGAAUUAAAUGAUAUAAAGUGGUAAGUGACAAUUAAAAAUAGUAACAGCUAAAUCAGGUAUUUACACUUUAUUAAUCUAGCGUCGAUUUGGUUAACAAACAAUUUAGAACUUAAUGGAUAAGAUGACAAGCAUACAUCACUUCUUUGUGUAAUACCGCCACUUUUUCCAUUAUUUAAAAUUUGCGAACUUCAGUUUAUCCAUUUCUUUUUUCUAAAAAGGCCUGGUUGCCGCUUAUAGUUCCACUACGUUUUGCUGCAUUUGCCACAAAAAUUCAUAGGGCAAAUCGAUUUGCAUUUCCAACCCCCAGCUUAAAAACGUUUUUAUUUCUUGAUUAUUAAUAUUUUAAACUGUUGGUUUUGAAAGCCGAAUUUUUAAUAAGUAAAGGAAUUCAGAAGUGCUCCUGCAGCCUGACGUUCAGAAUACUUUGCAGUGUAGUGGGUUGCCUACACCAAGGACGAACAGUCGCCUGCUGUAUGUUAAAUUUAAAUUAUCAUGGUACCAAUGUUACAGUGCGAAUCGAAAAUUGUAAGCAACUAAAUUUUUGGGUUUUAAUAAAAUAAUCUAAC
rnacentral:lncRNA from 1 species